UACGUAGGGUGCAAGCGUUGUCCGGAAUUAUUGGGCGUAAAGAGCUCGUAGGCGGUCUGUUGCGUCGGCUGUGAAAACCCGGGGCUCAACCCCGGGCCUGCAGCCGAUACGGGCAGACUAGAGUUCGGCAGGGGAGACUGGAAUUCCUGGUGUAGCGGUGAAAUGCGCAGAUAUCAGGAGGAACACCGGUGGCGAAGGCGGGAUCUCUGGGCCGUACUGACGCGUGAGGCGCGGAAAGCGUGGGGUAGCAAACAGG
rnacentral:rRNA from 1 species